GUUGAACGCUGGCGGCAUGCCUAACACAUGCAAGUCGAACGGCAGCACAGUCUAGUUUACUAGGCGGGUGGCGAGUGGCGAACGGGUGAGUAACGCGUAGGAAUAUGCCUUGAAGUGGGGGACAACUUGGGGAAACUCAAGCUAAUACCGCAUAUGUUCUGAGGAACAAAGCUGGGGACCGUAAGGCCUGGCGCUUUGAGAGUAGCCUGCGUCCGAUAAGCUAGUUGGUGAGGUAAAGGCUUACCAAGGCGACGAUCGGUAGCUGGUCUGAGAGGAUGAGCAGCGACACUGGGAGUGAGACACCGCCCAGACUCCUACGGUAGGCAGCAGUGGGGAAUUUUGGAGAAUGGGGGCAACCCUGAUCCAGCCAGGCCGCGUGAGUGGAGAAGUCCUUCGGGUUGUAAAGCUCUUUCGGCCGGGAAAAAAGCGCAUGGGCUAAUACCCUGUGUGGAUGAUGGUACCUGAAGAAUAAGCACCGGCUAACUACGUGCCAGCAGCCGCAGUAA
rnacentral:rRNA from 1 species